rnacentral:rRNA from 1 species
AAGUGGAGAAGGGUUCCAUGUGAACAGCAGUUGAACAUGGGUCAGUCGGUCCUAAGGGAUGGGCGAAAGCCGUUCGGAAGGGAGGGGCGAUGGCCUCCGUCGCCCCCAGUCGAUCGAAAGGGAAUCGGGUUCAGAUCCCCGAACCCGGAGUGGCGGAGACGGGCGCCGCUCGGCGCCCAGUGCGGUAACGCAAACGAACCCGGAGAAGCUGGCGGGGGCCCCGGGAAGAGUUCUCUUUUCUUUGUGAAGGGCCGGGCACCCUGGAAUGGGUUCGUCCCGAGAUAGGGGCCCACGCCCUGGAAAGCGCCGCGGUUCCGGCGGCGUCCGGUGAGCUCUCGUCGGCCCUUGAAAAUCCGGGGGAGAAGGUGUAAGUCUCGCGCCGGGCCGUACCCAUAUCCGCAGCAGGUCUCCAAGGUGAACAGCCUCUGGCGUGUUAGAACAAGGCAGCGUAAGGGAAGUCGGCAAGUCAGAUCCGUAACUUCGGGAUAAGGAUUGGCUCU